UACCAGCACCCCGAGUGGUCGGGACGAUUAUUGGGCCUAAAGCAUCCGUAGCCGGCCUUACAAGUCCCCCGUUAAAUCCAACUGCUUAACAGAUGGGCUGCGGAGGAUACUAUAAGACUAGGAGGCAGGAGAGGCAAGCGGUACUCAGUGGGUAGGGGUAAAAUCCGUUGAUCCAUUGAAGAACACCAGUGGCGAAGGCGGCUUGCCAGAAUGCGCUCGACGGUGAGGGAUGAAAGCUGGGGGAGCAAACCGG
rnacentral:rRNA from 1 species